rnacentral:rRNA from 1 species
CAUGCAAGUCCGCACGGUUAACUGGAAACAGCUUGCUGUUUCGCUGACGAGUGGCGGACGGGUGAGUAAUGUCUGGGAAACUGCCUGAUGGAGGGGGAUAACUACUGGAAACGGUAGCUAAUACCGCAUAACGUCGCAAGACCAAAGAGGGGGACCCUCGGGCCUCUUGCCAUCGGAUGUGCCCAGAUGGGAUUAGCUUGUUGGUGGGGUAACGGCUCACCAAGGCGACGAUCCCUAGCUGGUCUGAGAGGAUGACCAGCCACACUGGAACUGAGACACGGUCCAGACUCCUACGGGAGGCAGCAGUGGGGAAUAUUGCACAAUGGGCGCAAGCCUGAUGCAGCCAUGCCGCGUGUAUGAAGAAGGCCUUCGGGUUGUAAAGUACUUUCAGCGGGGAGGAAGGGAGUAAAGUUAAUACCUUUGCUCAUUGACGUUACCCGCAGAAGAAGCACCGGCUAACUCCGUGCCAGCAGCCGCGGUAAUACGGAGGGUGCAAGCGUUAAUCGGAAUUACUGGGCGUAAAGCGCACGCAGGCGGUUUGUUAAGUCAGAUGUGAAAUCCCCGGGCUCAACCUGGGAACUGCAUCUGAUACUGGCAAGCUUGAGUCUCGUAGAGGGGGGGUAGAAUUCC